CCUUCAUUCUCAGCAUCACAGUCACAGCCUCAAAUCCUCCUCUGGAAAAUAAAGACUGUACAUCUCACUCACCGUCUCGUGCCUUUGUCAACAUAAUGACACUGCCUGUCAAGUGGUACGGCUCCCAAUGCAGAGCUCCUAGCAAUAAAAUAUGAAGAAAACAGCCCACACAGGAGCAACUGGUGUGUGUGUGUGUGUAUGCAUGCAUUCUGUAGGUUGGACCUCAUCCUAGAAGAUCCCUUUCUUUCCUGCUCAGUGGAGCUCACAUUCACCAGCUGCACAAUUGCCGAGGCAGGUUAAUCCCAGCCUCACCAGGAAUGGUGGGUCGCCUAAGGAACUGUGGAUCUUACUCGAUGCAAGAAGAACAAGGUUAUUGAUUCAUAGCUCCCCUUAAGGUGUAGGAUAUUAUGAUGACCUCAACAGAGAAGGAAUCGGGGUGGAACCGCGAAAAAGCAAGGUGUUAUUAACCAGGAGAAUGGUGUUUUGGUAGAGUCCAGGGAGGAAGUCUGCAUGUCGCUCAACUUUCCAAUGCUGAAGUCAUUGUUGUCCUUGUACAUUGAAUUAGCUGGUUAACACAAGACAACAGAUGACACUUCCCACUUGACAUUGGAGCCUCAGCACUCAAUGCCUUGUUGGAGGCGGUCAGUUUUCUACGACAAAGAAGAGUGGGGA